CCUACGGGCGGCAGCAGUGAGGAAUAUUGGUCAAUGGACGAGAGUCUGAACCAGCCAAGUAGCGUGAAGGAUGACUGCCCUAUGGGUUGUAAACUUCUUUUAUAUGGGAAUAAUAUGCUCCACGCGGGGGAUUUUGUAUGUACCAUAUGAAUAAGGACAGGCUAACUCCGUGUCAGCAGCCGCGGUAAUACGGAGGAUCCGAGCGUUAUCCGGAUUUAUUGGGGGUAAAGGGAGCGGAGGUGGAUUGUUAAGUCAGUUGUGAAAGUUUGCGGAUCAAACGUAAAAUUGCAGUUGAAACGGGCAGUCUUGAGUACAGUAGAGGUGGGCGGAAUUCGUGGUGUAGCGGUGAAAUGCUUAGAUAUUACGAAGAACUCCGAUUGCGAAGGCAGUUCACUGGACUGUAACUGACGCUGAGGCUCGAAAGUGUGGGGAUCAAACAGGAUUAGAUACCCUUGUAGUC
rnacentral:rRNA from 1 species